rnacentral:sRNA from 1 species
UGGCGUAUGAUUGAGGACUUGCUGUGG